GGGUGAUCUAGAGUGAUGAUAUUCAUCAUCUGUAGAAAUUGUCACUGGUCUUGAUGGCAGUGGGUCUCAAUGUCAAUUGGAGUUGUGACGCAUUUUAAGGUACUGGACAACAAAUAUAGGGAUCCACUACCACAUCUAAUAGUGAUUAUCUCAACUAAUGAUCUAUGUACAUGCUGGAAAUUUGUCCAGAAAAUAGUUUUUAGGUGGGGAACAUUAGAAAUCUAUUUGUGUAAACUGCGAUUUUUAGAAAUUUUCAACUGUAGGCAUUCCACCCUUUGCGAUUAUUGAAGUGCGUGUUUUACUUUCUAGUGUUUCAAUGUAUUUUCAUGGUUGGAGUUGUGAAUAAAGCAGAGGUUACCUGGUAGAAUAAUUGAGAUAAGUCGACAAUGAAUUCUUAACAUUGAAACUGAUGGGGAGUGCUUAUCGCUCUAAUAUAGUUUAAUGGUUAUAGCAUGAUUCAAACUAAAACUAGAUUAUCUUUCUAAUCGAUGUAACACUCAUCGUGAUGUAGGAGGGCAAGCCAGCUAAUGCUAACCAUUUCAGUUCAGACUUCUUCAGUAUAUUUUAUUAUCUCUUGUUCUUAUUACUUGUAACUUUUUUAUUUUCCUGUCAUUAUUAUCUUUCUAGAUUUCAGCAUCCAUCAACUUGGCAGAGGAACGAAAAACGCCAAAAACUAUGUGCUGAGACUACCUGGGAUUUUGAAAUGAAAUCCUUUCGUUCGCAUUUUUUUUAUCUUCUGCAAUUGUUCAAUCUGUGCAAACAGGUUCUUAAUCAGUGAAUAUUUUUUUGGGCCGUUUUAAAGAAACCAAUACUGUUUGUUAUGGAACUGAGCUGAUUGCCAAUCUAUGGUUCAAUUGUCUAAGAAUUUAUAGUGAUUUUUCUUGAAUUUGUGGUCGAUCACACCCAAUUUGAAGAAAAAAGUGUUUGAACCAGUUCAGCGG
rnacentral:lncRNA from 1 species